rnacentral:rRNA from 1 species
AAUGAACGCUGGCGGCGUGCCUAACACAUGCAAGUCGAACGAGAAAGGGUAUUUCGGUACCCGAGUAAAGUGGCGCACGGGUGAGUAACGCGUGGGUGACCUACCCUGGAAUUUGGGAUAACACCGCGAAAGUGGUGCUAAUACCGGAUACGAUCCAGUAGUGAUACUGGGUGAAAGUCGGCCUCUCGAAGAAGCUGAUGUUCUGGGAUGGGGCUCGCGUCCUAUCAGCUAGUUGGUAGGGUAAUGGCCUACCAAGGCGACGACGGGUAGCUGGUCUGAGAGGAUGAUCAGCCACACUGGCACUGGAACACGGGCCAGACUCCUACGGGGAGGCAG